rnacentral:rRNA from 1 species
CCUAAAGAGUAACGGAGGAGCACGAAGGUUGGCUAAUCCUGGUCGGACAUCAGGAGGUUAGUGCAAUGGCAUAAGCCAGCUUGACUGCGAGCGUGACGGCGCGAGCAGGUGCGAAAGCAGGUCAUAGUGAUCCGGUGGUUCUGAAUGGAAGGGCCAUCGCUCAACGGAUAAAAGGUACUCCGGGGAUAACAGGCUGAUACCGCCCAAGAGUUCAUAUCGACGGCGGUGUUUGGCACCUCGAUGUCGGCUCAUCACAUCCUGGGGCUGAAGUAGGUCCCAAGGGUAUGGCUGUUCGCCAUUUAAAGUGGUACGCGAGCUGGGUUUAGAACGUCGUGAGACAGUUCGGUCCCUAUCUGCCGUGGGCGCUGGAGAACUGAGGGGGGCUGCUCCUAGUACGAGAGGACCGGAGUGGACGCAUCACUGGUGUUCGGGUUGUCAUGCCAAUGGCACUGCCCGGUAGCUAAAUGCGGAAGAGAUAAGUGCUGAAAGCAUCUAAGCACGAAACUUGCCCCGAGAUGAGUUCUCCCUGAGACUUAGAGUCUCCUGAAGGAACGUUGAAGACGACGACGUUGAUAGGCCGGGUGUGUAAGCGCAGCGAUGCGUUGAGCUAACCGGUACUAAUGAACCGUGAGGCUUAACCUU